AGCCUUGGGGUGUUACCACGUCAGAUUGCAAAUCUGAAGAAGCAGGCUAACCCCUGCCGGGGCUU
rnacentral:tRNA from 1 species